AAUGCAGAAUAAAAGUGCUGCAAGUGUUGAACAGGCUCCAGAAUAUGGUCUUCCAAGGAUCUUUUUCUGAGGUUGGGAGGAUAAUGCGGGCGCUGCAAAGAAUGCACCGCGAAGUGGAGGAGGACUUGCGAGAAACUUCCUCUGAAGAUGAAUGCAGAAUAA